rnacentral:rRNA from 1 species
GGGCCCGCACAAGCGGUGGAGUAUGUGGUUUAAUUCGAUGCAACGCGAAGAACCUUACCAGGGUUUGACAUCCUGCGAAUCUCUUGGAAACAGGAGAGUGCCUUCGGGAACGCAGUGACAGGUGGUGCAUGGCUGUCGUCAGCUCGUGUCGUGAGAUGUUGGGUUAAGUCCCGCAACGAGCGCAACCCACGUCUUUAGUUGCCAGCAUUUAGUUGGGCACUCUAGAGAGACCGCCGGUGACAAACCGGAGGAAGUGUGGAUGACGUCAAGUCAUCAUGCCCCUUACGUCCUGGGGCUACACACGUACUACAAUGCUACGGACAAAGGGCAGCAAGUUCGCGAGGACAAGCAAAUCCCAUAAACCGUGGCUC